UGGCGGCGUGCUUAACACAUGCAAGUCGUGCGAGGAUGUGAUUGGAAGGUCUUCGGACCGGAGGAUGCAUCCGAGCGGCGGACGGGUGAGUAACGCGUGAGCAACCUGCCUUCAACAGGGGGAUAACGCAUCGAAAGAUGUGCUAAUACCGCGUAAGACCACGGCAUCACAUGGUGCAGGGGUCAAAGGAGCAAUCCGGUUGAAGAUGGGCUCGCGUCCGAUUAGCCAGUUGGUGAGGUAACGGCCCACCAAAGCAACGAUCGGUAGCCGACCUGAGAGGGUGAUCGGCCACAUUGGAACUGAGACACGGUCCAGACUCCUACGGGAGGCAGCAGUGGGGAAUAUUGGGCAAUGGGGCGAAAGCCUGACCCAGCAACGCCGCGUGAGGGAAGAAGGGUUUCGGCUCGUAAACCUCUGUCCUAAAGGGCGAAAGAAAUGACGGUACUUUAGGAGGAAGCCCCGGCUAACUACGUGCCAGCCGCAGC
rnacentral:rRNA from 1 species